UACGAGAGCCUCAAGCGUUAUCCGGAUUUACUGGGCGUAAAGGGCGCGUAGGCGGCCAGCACAAGUCAGUUGUGAAAUCUCCGAGCUUAACUCGGAAAGGUCAACUGAUACUGUGCGGCUAGAGUGCGGAAGGGGCAACUGGAAUUCUUGGUGUAGCGGUGAAAUGCGUAGAUAUCAAGAGGAACACCUGCGGCGAAGGCGGGUUGCUGGGCCGACACUGACGCUGAUGCGCGAAAGCCAGGGGAGCGAACGGG
rnacentral:rRNA from 1 species